GACGAACGCUGGCGGCGUGCUUAACACAUGCAAGUCGAACGGAAAGGCCCUGCUUUUGUGGGGUGCUCGAGUGGCGAACGGGUGAGUAACACGUGAGUAACCUGCCCUUGACUUUGGGAUAACUUCAGGAAACUGGGGCUAAUACCGGAUAGGAGCUCCUGCUGCAUGGUGGGGGUUGGAAAGUUUCGGCGGUUGGGGAUGGACUCGCGGCUUAUCAGCUUGUUGGUGGGGUAGUGGCUUACCAAGGCUUUGAGGGGUAGCCGGCCUGAGAGGGUGACCGGCCACAAUGGGACUGAGAUACGGCCCAGAAUCCUACGGGAGGCAGCAGUGGGGAAUAUUGCACAAUGGGCGGGAGCCUGAUGCAGCAACGCCGCGUGCGGGAUGACGGCCUUCGGGUUGUAAACCGAUUUCGCCUGUGACGAAGCGUGAGUGACGGUAAUGGGUAAAGAAGCCCCGGCUAACUACGUG
rnacentral:rRNA from 1 species